AUGAUUGCAAAGUUGCCUCCUUCAUGGAGGAAUUUCGCCACAACUCUGAAGCAUAAGAGACAGGAGAUAUCAGUUGAAAAUCUGAUUGCAUCUCUUGAUGUUGAAGAAAAAGCUCGGGCUAAAGAUACCACUGAAAAAGGAGGUGAGGUUCAGCCUACUGCUAACAUGGUGCAGAGGUACCCACAGAACAAGAACAAAGGGAAGAACAAACCUGUUUUCAACAAGCCUACCAAGACUACUACUUUCAAGAAGAAGAAGUUCAACAAGGCUGAGCUAGAGUGCUACGCCUGUGGGAAGCCUGGACACUUUUCCAAGGAAUGCCCUGAACGUGCAGACCGCAGAGGGAAAACAAGCUCCAAGACUGUCAACAUGGUGACCGCUAGCAAUACUGAUGGGUAUGGUAAUUUACCUAUUGUGCUUUCAGUAUUUUAA
rnacentral:rRNA from 1 species